GUUUCUUCCAUGGCAGAUGUGAAAUAAAAUCCAAAUGAUCUUUCAGGUACAUCUACAAAUUUAGUAUGGCACUUUUGAAGACAUAUGUGGUUAUUACAGUGAGAAUUCAAAAUGAUUUUUUUCCAUAACCCCGAUAGUGGAACCAUUUUACUCACAAUAAACUUCCUUUAGCCAACAUGUUCAUCUACGUGGUGGUAACAAAAACUGGGCACCUUGAGUGUUCUUCCAAAAUAGAAAAAAUCCUUUUUAAUAUGGCUGGAUGGAGUCUUGAAGAAUUCUGAUAUAGACUUUCUUGACCUAUGAAUUUUUGUAGGUUAGGACAAACUUGGGUGCAUAUUGUGUCAAAAAGACUGUUGUUUUACCUUGGUGAAAA